rnacentral:rRNA from 1 species
AGAGUUUGAUCCUGGCUCAGGAUGAACGCUGGCGGCGUGCCUAAUACAUGCAAGUCGAGCGAACAGACGAGGAGCUUGCUCCUCUGACGUUAGCGGCGGACGGGUGAGUAACACGUGGAUAACCUACCUAUAAGACUGGGAUAACUUCGGGAAACCGGAGCUAAUACCGGAUAAUAUAUUGAACCGCAUGGUUCAAUAGUGAAAGACGGUUUUGCUGUCACUUAUAGAUGGAUCCGCGCCGCAUUAGCUAGUUGGUAAGGUAACGGCUUACCAAGGCAACGAUGCGUAGCCGACCUGAGAGGGUGAUCGGCCACACUGGAACUGAGACACGGUCCAGACUCCUACGGGAGGCAGCAGUAGGGAAUCUUCCGCAAUGGGCGAAAGCCUGACGGAGCAACGCCGCGUGAGUGAUGAAGGUCUUCGGAUCGUAAAACUCUGUUAUUAGGGAAGAACAAAUGUGUAAGUAACUAUGCACGUCUUGACGGUACCUAAUCAGAAAGCCACGGCUAACUACGUGCCAGCAGCCGCGGUAAUACGUAGGUGGCAAGCGUUAUCCGGAAUUAUUGGGCGUAAAGCGCGCGUAGGCGGUUUUUUAAGUCUGAUGUGAAAGCCCACGGCUCAACCGUGGAGGGUCAUUGGAAACUGGAAAACUUGAGUGCAGAAGAGGAAAGUGGAAUUCCAUGUGUAGCGGUGAAAUGCGCAGAGAUAUGGAGGAACACCAGUGGCGAAGGCGACUUUCUGGUCUGUAACUGACGCUGAUGUGCGAAAGCGUGGGGAUCAAACAGGAUUAGAUACCCUGGUAGUCCACGCCGUAAACGAUGAGUGCUAAGUGUUAGGGGGUUUCCGCCCCUUAGUGCUGCAGCUAACGCAUUAAGCACUCCGCCUGGGGAGUACGACCGCAAGGUUGAAACUCAAAGGAAUUGACGGGGCCCCGCACAAGCGGU